AGGGCCGCGGGCGCGGACCAAUCGGAGACGAGGCCGGGGCGGGACCUGGCGGCGGCGGCGAGGGAGAGGGGGCGGAGGCGACCCCGGGCCUGGCAGGGGAGGGGGGAUCGGGCCUGGCCGGGCCCAGCCGGAGCCUCCUGCCGCCGCCACUGAGACAGACCCGGGGAGAGCGCGCCGGAGAGAGCGAGAAGAAGCGGGGAGAGCGCCCUCCGCCUCGCCCGGCCCCGCCCGGCCAUGGGCAACGCGGCCACGGCCAAGAAGGGCGGCGAGAUCGAGAGCGGCAGAUAUGGCAGGUUCGUGCUUCUAGACAGCUGGCCUUGUUAAAAUGCAAGUGAAGGAUACUUAAUGCAGGACAGACAGAUGGAUAUAACUUCCAGCCCCAAAAGAAGCUCCAGAACGCACCAGCAGGUUGGCCAGGCAGGAAAGUGGCUCUCAGUGGAAUUGCUACCUACAGAACAGCAUGUCCGAAGGUAGUUUGCCUAGAUGGAAGAGAAAGAGAGAGAGAGAGAGAGAGAGCUGCUUGGACUGCUUUGCCAGGAGAGGAAGGCAAGACUCUGUAGCUUCAGCAGACUUGCAGGACAGACUUGCUGGAGUGGGACUUGAGGAGAACUAUUUAAAACUCCCCCCCCCCCCCCCCCAAUACACACUUCUUAGUUCUUUUACCUAUUGCCUUGAGGAACUUGUAUUAAGCAGGCCUCGUGUCAAUUUAAUCUGGGUUUUCCUUGUGUCAAAACAGUCCGUACAAAUGAAGCCUUUAUGAUGUAGUCUUCUUGCCUCAUUGAGACAACCUUAUACAGCUGGGUUACAGACAAUGGUGUAUUCCAUUUUUAGCCCCCUCACAUUUUUGCAUCAUUACAAUAUUAAAAAAUAUUAUGGAAAAUAAACAUAAAGGAAAGAUGAGAAAGGCAAGUGGUACCUUUAGCCUGAUGAAACUAGAGCCCCUUCCACACAGUUAAAUAAAGUCCCACAUUAUCUGCUUUGAACUGAAAUAUAUGUAAGUAUGGGCUCAGAUAACCCAGUUCAAAGCAAAUAUGGGAUUUUCUGCCUUGAUAUUCUGGGAUAUAGGGCUGUGUGGAAGGGCCCUUAGAGUCUUGAAACACCUGAGAUGCUUCACAUGUCUUUUUCCUCUCCACUGGAUGCCUUUCAAACACCUGAUACCGUGUGUUGGAUUUAGUCUAGGCUGCUCAUUUUCUUUUCUUUUCUUUUUAAAGAGGAACACAGUGAUUGGGUGAUUGCAAGAAGCAAUUUGUAUGUGAUGGAACAGUAGAGCAGAAUAUUCAGCCCAGGCCUUUUAGGUGUCAGUUAUGCACUUUUAAACCAGGAAUUGCCUCUCAUUUUUCAAGAAUCCCUCAAAUUGAGAAGUGCACAUUGUAAGUGGAUGUGGAAACUGCAAAGCUAGGCCUUGGCACCUGAGACACCUUAGCCUCUUUGACUCCUGGAACAAAAGAGGCAAUAUGGGAAAUCUUUCUGAGCCCCCAGCUUCUUGGGGAUAUUGUCUUAGUUCUUGCUUCAGCAUGUCUUCAUAAAAUUAGGUGGAGUCCAGAUAUCCUGGUUAAACUUUCUUUAUUGGCUUUUUAAACCCUGUGAAUAACAGUCCAUUGGUUCCAUUGGCAGAUUAAAAUAGUCCCUUUUCCAAAAAGCUUCCUAUGCAACAGGGUUGUGGAAUGUUUUGUGAGCCAGAUAUUGUUGGACUGCGGCUUCUUCAUCUCUCAUCAUUGGCUCUGCUGGCCAGGGCAGAUAGGAGGUGCAGUCUGCUGAUAUCUGAAAGGCCACACAUCCCUUAUUUUUGACAUAGAAGAGGGUGGGCAAAGCACAGAACAUGUUCAAUACUUGCUGAGCCUCAUAAAUGAUUUUUUUGCUAUACAGUAUGUAUAUGCAUAUAUGAAUGAGUGAAUGAAUUACUGAUACCCAAAAAAGAAAGGAAAUUAGCAUAGAGAGAGAGAGAGAGGGGGGGGGGGGGAAAGCAAAGAGGGGGAAAUAACAUAAGAUUGUUAGGAUAUUUUCAAUAAGACUGACAUAUAAAUAGCUCUUUGGAGUCUAGAAGGAACAUAUUUGUGCAUAGAUAAAAUAGCAACAUAAUGUGGACAUUGAAUAAUAGGUAUUGCCUAUCUUUACAGUCCUGAAACAACACUUUUUGCUCAGGGGCACAAAAGAACUGCAGGUGAAGUUCCAAAUCACAGGAAUAAAUUUUAAAAAUACAUCAACACACACAAAUGUCCAGCCAAAGAACAACUACCACUGGACAUGCCCAUUUCAUGUCUCACAGUGACUAAAGCUAUUUAUUACCAUGGUACUGACAGAUCCAAAGUGCUCGUGCAUUUGCUGUUUUAGUCAUCAUUUUUAUUGCAAUCAGAGUUGUGAAUAACAUCUAGGAAUUUAGAGAAGACAUACUAAUAUCAAGAUGAGCCAGUAUUGUGGACACUUUGAGCGUCAAGGGUCUGAUUCAUAUUCUUCUUCUGAAUUUCAAAACAGUAUUUAUUUAUUAUUUGUUUGAGAAAUGAACAUCCCGCCUUUCUCUGAGCACAGACCCAAGGCAGCUAUAACAGAACAAAAGAACAUACAGUAUAAAAAUUAGAACAGCACAUAAAAUCAUAAAUAUUUGAAACAGGAAACACAGUUAAAAUCAUAUAAACAUUAAAACCAAGAUAAAAACACAGAGCUUCGCUAGAACUUCUUUGGGAUUGCCAUAACAAGAGAAAUCAAUUAUCUUCUUUAUUAUAAAUAAAUUGCAGAAAUCAGUAAGGUAUGCAGUUAUGAUUUUUUGUAUAGUUAUAGUUGUACUUGUGACAUAUAUGUCUAUAUGGAAUUUGGUACAUUUUUGUGAGGGGGGAAAAGCAUAGGUAAAUGAGAAGCAACAAACAGUAUAUUUAGAAAUAGCAAAUAUUUGAUUGGUAGCUUAAUAGGGUAUAAGAUACCCUUUCAACUCAAGCACUAGUUCUUUAAUGUUAAAAAGUUCCUAAUAUGCACAGGGAUCUUGAAUCACUUUCAUGAUCAAUUGACAGAAAGAAAUUGGUAGCAUAAGCUUGCACAAGAUAUUUAUUUCAAUUAUUUAUACCCCGCCCUUCUCACCCGAGGGGACUCAGGGCGGCUAAGUACCCAUUUUCUUAAGUGCUGUCAUUGUGAAAGGCUGAAAUGUUCAUUUUUUAAAAAGUUUCUUUUAGUGAAUCCAAAUGUUACACUGUGCACAGUUUCCCACAAAUGCAUGAAGUAUGAACAGUUGUGGCACUUAAGUUAUUUUGUUUGUAUAAGAACCUGAAUGACAAACCACUCCAUUGUGAUCACAUUGUUUAGGCAUGGAGUUUAUUAGAUCAAGAGGUGGAAAAGAAAGAAUGGUUGCUUCCUUUUAAUGAUGAGUCGGAUAGUUGUGAUUGAAUUCUGUAUGUCCUUCUGGGAUGUAGUAUCAUUGUUGAAUUCAUUAUACACACACACAAACACACACGUUAUUUAGCUUUGAUGGUUUAAUAGCCGUUUCCUAGCUUUGCGACCAAAUCUAUUUUAACAUACUAUGAAUGUGAAAUAUUAUUAAAGUUGCUGCCUGAAACAACAAUGUGCAGGAUCUGUCUAUUAGGUGAAAUAACUGCUGUUGGUAGAAAUAUAUUGAAUGGGCCCAAACUGCAGGGAGAAAUCCAGUUGGUUGUUGGACAUUCAAAUAGUAUAAAUGUAAACAUUAAACUCGGAAAUUGAGAGAGUUAAGAUCCAACCUGGGAUGGAACAGGGCUUAGAUUCUGGAUCUGCUUCCCUAAUAGAUAUAUAACAUUUUAUGUUUUCAGGCUCUCUGCUUUUGCAUUUGAGCAGCAGCAAUAGGAAGAACAAUGUUAGGCUUGUACCUACUUUUUGCUUUUUUUUUUUUUUUUUACAGAUGUGCCAUCUGACUCACAAAGAAUCAGUGCUGCUGUAUUUUUUUCACCCAAUUAGUCCUCUUCCUGUCCCUCCCAUUGUAAUUUUUGGCAGCAUUAAAAAGGCAAACAGAACUCGACUUCAAUUAAAGUGAGCAUGGGUUUAAUUAAACAAUUGAGAACAGAUACUGCAUGCUAAGCUUUUUAAGCAAUUAAAGAAAGCACUUUUUAAAUAUUAUUAUUGAAUGGGACAUUCAGGUGCUUGUGGUUUUGGCUGGUGGGAUAUUCUGUGCAAAAUGCCAAGUAUGGACUUUUCUGGAAAGUAGAUUGGUCAGAAAAACUCAGACCGUAACUGUCUUGAUACAGAAAUAGAACUUUUGCAUCUAUGUGAAUUUCACUAAAUCUUUCAUAACUGUUGUGCAUCUCCUUCUUCGGUGGUUUUAAAGUGGUAACUAAUAAAUACUAUUUGAUGUAGUUAAUAUGAUUUACCAGAAAGGUCCAUAUACUAUACUACAGUUGUAUAGUCCCUACCUUUCAUGGUCUGUGGUCACAAUGUAGACAAAUACUGUACAUAAAGAUUGAAUGUAUUCUGCCACCUUGCAUGGGGGCUUUCUACAACUGUAUAGCAGUUUCUAUUAAAUGGAUAAUGCAAUAACAAUAUUGCAAAUGUUAAAUGGAUUUUGGUAGUCCAGGCAGUAGGCAUGGGAAAAUGCAAAUAUGAAAUAGCCGUCCUGUAGACUUGAUUCUUAGAGCCAGCAUGGUGUAGUGCUUUGAGCAUUGGACUAUGACUCUGGAGUCCAGGGUUCAAUUGCUGGCUCAGCCAUGGAGCCUCAUUGGGUGACCUUGGGUGAAUCACACUCGACACCAUAAAACCCCAUGAAACCUUAGGAUCACCAUAAGUCACAAAUGACUUGAAGGCACAAAACAACAACUACAAGAUGUGAAUCUUAGUGGCUUUCUGUCCUUGAUCUGAAAUGUAGUCAUAUUUUCUUAUUGUUUAAAAUAUAUUCUCAAAAAUAAAAUGCUUUUCAAGAGUUAUUCCCCAAUAUUCCUUGAUGAGACACAUUUUAAUCUGGCAUCUGAAGAUCCCCACUGUUAUAUAUUGGGGAAAUUUCUAUAGAACUGGCCCCACGUCUGAUGAGUGGAUACUGAAAUUGAGUAAAUAAGAGCUUUGGUUAGAGAAUGGAGUGCACAAAAGACUAAUUACAACAGCUGGUGGUUUUUAAGAUUUGGUGGUCUCACACUUCGUUUUUUCUUUUUUGUCAGAAAGGUCUUUGUAUAGAUUAGUGCUUCUCAGAUUGUGUAAUGUGGAGGGCUGGCAUUUAUAUUUUCCUAACAUUCUUUUCUGAAUAUUCUCCAUGGACUGGUAGACCAAGGCUUGGAGACUGGUACUGGGGCUGUCUCUUCGGUAACACUGGUAUGGAUGACAAAAUGGCCGGAGGUGCUCUUGAUAUAAGAAAACACACAGUGAGUUCCACAGAGAACCACUGGCCCAUUAGUAAACUGAAUUCUCCCAAAUUAAAUCUCUGUACCAGCAUCUCAAAGAUCUAUAUCCAGUAUCACUGGUAGGAAAGCGAAAACUAGCUGAAAUGAGGGAUAAUCUCUUGCAGCAUUGUGGGGGCCCCCAAACAUCUCUGGAGGGUUUCAUUUGGGGUCUUCAUAGGGAGUUGCAACUAGGAAGGGAAAGGGAAGGACACUUCAUUAUGAUACUGGAUUUAGGCCAAAGACUGGGUGGCAUUAUGCAGAUAAUUGUAGAUGUGGCUAGAAAACAUAUGUCAUUUCUUUAAAAUAACUUCUUCAGGAUGUUCCCUGUUUUAUGCCAAAAUCAGGUGAGUUUUUCAGGUUUUAAGACAUUUUUGUUCCUUUGAUUUCCUUCUGUUUUAUGUGAGUUGGAUGGAAGGACAAAAACUCUGCCAGAGCUUGACUCCCCUUGUUCUUCCUCCAUCCAAGUUUCCAGAUUUCUUCUAGGCAAUACUGCUAUGCUUUGUCACUGCCUUUGCAGCUUGCGGGCUGGAAACCUGAUUUCGAAACACAGCCUGAUAUUUCUCAGGAUAGUGGCCUUUGCUGAAUAAACACUUUCUGUGGAUUUUCCCCAUCUCUAUCUAGCAAGACAAAUAGCGUAAGCAGUGGUGCAGUAUGUGAACACUUAGCAAUACAUUUCUUCUUUUCUCUCUGUAGCCUUACUUUAAUCUCCAUAUCUCCCCUCUCCCUGCACUUUCUGAAUUUCCUUGAGCUGAGACCUGUUUUCUAUUUUAUUCUAGCCCAGCCCUAUUAAGCAUUGCAGAACUAUAUAAAAUAGUUUCUUUGCCUGGAAGGUUGUGGAUACCUAAGCCAAACGCAUCAGUUCAUUUCAUAUAUUAACAAGGGAACAGCUGCUGGACGAUGACUAAAAUGUAAAGACAACCUGUUUCUGAAGAAAUGUGAUUUGCCCAUGAUCGUAAUCAAGCAUAAAACAAAAUAAUCUUCCUGUUCAAUGGAAAAUCUAUGCUAUGCCCUGGCUGCUGCUACUAUUAUGACAAAUACAGUUGCUUCUAAGAAGACUGCUUCCCAUUUGGGUGAAGAGCGCAAACACUGAGUCCCUGGAAAGCGGCUGACAUUUAGAAUAUUCUUUGCUUGGUGAUGGUUGUUGUUAAACUACCAAAUAUGCUAUCCUUCAAAAUGCUGAUAAGGUAUUUUUCAACAUUAUAAUUACAAACAAUAAAACUAGAGAGUAAUUAUAACUAACCACCAAAGCAAAUGCACAGCAGGUAGGAAUUACAAUACGUAGUAAAAUAAUUCCCUGAAGCUAGAGAAAGCAUUUUGAGUAGUGUACGUUUCCAAGUAAGACAUUGUCUCAGAAGAUGCAGACAAGAAGAAAUGCAAAGAACCCACUUAGGGUGUGUGUGUGUGUGUGGAUAUAUGCAGUGUAUGUGUAUAAUGCAGGCAUAGCUUUUUGAAAAAAACUGUUCUUGGUUUUAAAUUGCACUCAUCGUUGUGAUCAGGACACAGAAAUUCUGGCUCUUCUCGUAAAUUACUUAAUUCUAGUUUUGUGAUGUAAGUAACGUAUAGGAAAAGAGGUGGUAGAUAUUUGAAGGACUGUGGGGCCCCUUCCACACAGCUGAAUAAAACCUUACAUUAUCUGCUUGGAACUGAAAUAUAUGGCAGUGUAAACUCAGAUAACCCAGUUCAAAGCAGAUAUUGUGGGAUUUUCUGCCUUGAUAUUCUGGGUUAUACGGCUGUGUGGAAAGGCCCUGGAUGUAGUAAAAAUAUGAGCUCACAUGGACCGUGAAGAUAGGGAACCAGAAUACAAUUACAGUUCAGAGUGAGGUAACAGGAAGCUUGGUAAAACUAAGGAUGUGAUGUGUGCGACUGCAUGCACACGUUCUGCCUGAAGAGUUGGCACUAGUGUAUCUUCGUGCAAGAUUUGCACACAGUGUAAAGUGAACAUAGUUGUGUCCAACACAAUGGGAUGCAUCCAUAUAUAUCUUUCAUGUAUAACUUUUACAGGAAAACCACUACCGGUAUAUAUUCCUGGAUUUACUGUGGAAAUAGGAAACUGUGAAUAAAGGAGAACCUUAUUGAAAUGAAUGACUUCUUUCAGAAGUUACCAUUGAGUUUCAUUCUGUAGGACCUAGAACAUUCCUGGAGUAGUGUCCUCUAAGAUGAUUUUAGGCCCUCCAGCGAGAGAUUAUGGUAACUUCAGGCAGAAACAUAACAUAGAAUUGUACUUGAAGUCAAUAUGCCUAGGGAGUGUUAAGAAUAACUUGUAGGAUCAAUGAACCAUUGGUCUGAAUUUAUAGCAGCCCUCAGUUCAGUCCUAUGUGGAAUCUACAGAUGUUUUAAAACUGGUCUAUUUUCUCUUUCUCUUGUGCACAUUUUUACUUUUAUCCUAUGUUUCCUUUUUUAGCUGUUCACAAUGUUGCCCAUGUCCUUGUUUCCUGAACUGGGGUUAGAGAACAUGGGUUUCUUUCUGACAGGGAUUCUCUGCCCUUAGAAGCCAUGGGCCAUGCAGAUGUUUACUUCUUCCCAGAAGUAACUAUGUUUCUGAUUGUACUGCUUCUGAAAUGUUGACCAAGUUCUCAUAGAAUCCUAGAAUUGCAAGAAACCAGUAGGGGCAUUCUGUCCAAUCGGCCAUGCAGGAAAAGCACAGUGAAAACACCCCUGACAGAUGGCUAUCCAGCCUCUGCUUGAAAAUUUCUAGAGAAGUAAACUCCACCGCCCUCCAAAGCAGCAGGAUAUUCCACUGCCAAACAGCUCUUACCAUCAGGAAGGUCUUAUUAAUGUUUAGGUGGAAAUUCUUUUCCUACAAUUUCAGUCUAUUGUUCCAUUGUGCCUAAUCCCCAGAGCAACAGAAAACAAGCUUGUUCCCUCCUCAAUAUGACAUCCAUUCCAAUAUUUAAGCACGGCCAUCUUUCUCUUGAUAUAAUAAUAAAAUACUCAAUGGACAUCAUUGCAACACUUUCUGAAAUCCUGCAGCCAUUUUAGUCACCAGGUAGGAAGUCAAAAAACUAGUCCUCACGGUCUCAGUGUCAAGGAGGCAACAUAAGCUUUGGAUCCCGGCCCAGUUAGUGGCCUCUGGGGAAGGUGGUGUUCUGCUUACCUCCCCUGAUGAUUUGAGAACAACUCAUGGGUCAAUUUGUUCCUGCUCUACUUUGUUAGAAGAGCGCUUUAUAUCCAAUCUGUUCCUGAAAGAGGAUUCUUUUACCAUUUAAAAGUGAUUCUGUUCUUGAACAAGCUGCCAAGAAACUUCCUACCAUCAAAACUCAUCCUCUUUGAUACAAAGAGUCACUUGACCAUGCCCAGGAGGGCUUCCAGUUUAUCCUCUCUUAUGACAGUGCUUCAUGCCUUGCGGAAAACAGCUUUUGAAGUUGCUCUGGUGGUUAUGUACCAGCCUACAUGUACUUAAAAAUGCAUAUGAAGACUGAAGGCAUUCAUAAAGGUCAUCUAAAAAUCCUGAUCACGUCAUUAAGUUAAACUUACGAUGUAGCUUGUAGUAUCGCUAAAUCCCUUCUUUGAUUCUUUUUAGCUCUGAUGGCAAAGUGAUUGCAUUCUGCUGUAAGAGAUUCAGAUUCGAACAACAACAACAACUUGUAUUUUGUCCCAUCUCCCCUCUGGGGACUUAGGGCGGCUUGUGCAUGGGUCAUAAAGGUUGCUGGAAGUCUUAGGCAAGUUAGUUUUUUUGUUUACAAAACCACCUCUGGGGUUGGUUUGUUUUUGAAACUUAUUGUUUAUUUUAUAAACAGCUAAGGGGAAUGUCUCAUGGGCUUAGAUGUCUUUAAUGCCCAAGGCAUGGGAAAUAAGAUGAGAUGGAACUCCUAGCAUAACUAAACUGUUACGCUGUAAUAGGCAUAACUGAAACCUGGUGGGACGAGUCCUAUGAUUGGAAUGUAGCAGUGAAGGGGUAUAAGCUAUUUCAGAGAAAUAGACCAAACAGGAGAGGGAGUGGAGUAGCAUUAUAUGUUAAAAAUAUGUACACCUGUGAAGAGAUACAAGACCUCAAUCUUGGAAACCAGGUUGAAAGCAUCUGGGUAAGAAUUAAGGGAACAAAGACUGAAAAUAAUUGUUGUGGGGGUCUACUGCAGAUCUCAAAGCCAGAUAGAAGAAUUGGAUGAAGCCUUCCUUGACCAGAUGACCAAACAUGCAGUAAAAAAAGAUAUAUAGUAGUAAUGUGGGAUUUCAACUACUCUGAUAUUUGUUGGAAAACCAACUUUGCCAAGAGUAAAAAGUCCAGCCAAUUCCUCACUUGCCUUUCAGACAGUUUUAUUGUCCAGAAGGUAGAAGAGACAACAAGGGGAUCCUCUAUUCUGGAUCUGAUCCUAACCAACACUGAGGACCUGGUCAAUGGAAUGGAAGUGGUGGGAUCCUUAGGUGGGAGUGACUAUGUGCUCCUAGAAUUUGUGAUACAAAGGAAGGGUGAAACUAGGCAGAAAAAAUGAAAUGCAAAGAUACCAAAUGGGUGAUGCCUGGCUUGAUAACAGUCCAUAUGAGAAAGAUCUUGGCAUCUUUGUGGACAACAAGUUGAACAUGAGCCAACAUUGUGAUGCAGCAACUUAAAAAGCCAGUGGGAUUUUGGCCUGCAUCAAAAGGAGUAUAGUGUUUAGUUUGAGGGAGAUCAUGGUGCCUUUGUAUUCUGCUUUGGUUAGACCUCACCUGAAAUACUGUGUCCCAAUUCUUGACACCACAGCUCAAAAGAAAUAUUGACAAGCUGUAAUGUGUCCAAGGGAGGGCAACUAAAAUGAUCAAAAGUCUGGAGACCAUGAAGUCCUAUGAGGAGUGGCUUAAAGAGUUGGGUAUCUUUAGCCUGCAGAAGAGAAGGUUGAGAGGAAAUAUGAUAGCUAUAUAUAAAUAUGUGAAAGGGUGUCAUAAGGAAGAGGGAGCAGACUUGUUUUCUGCUGCCCAUGAAACUAGGAUUAGGAGCAAUGGGUUCCGAUUACAGGAAAGGAGAUUCCACCUAAAUAUUAGGAAGAACUUUCUGACAGUACAAGCUGCUCAACAGUGGAACACUUUGCAUUGGAAUGUGAUGGAAGCUCCUUCUUUGGAAACUUUUAAACAGAGGCUGGAUGGCCAUCAGGGAUACUUUGUGCUUUUCCUGCAUGGCAGAGGGUUGGACUAGAUGGCCCACGUGGUCUCUUCCAACUCUAUUAUUCUAUGAUUCGUUUACUGAAUACCCUGCCUUGUUUAUUAAGACAGCUCACAACAUUUAUUAAAACAAAAUAUAGUUAACAAUCAUAGUAGUCCAAAUAAUAUUAAAAAGUAAAUACAGUAGGACCUCCAUAUUUACAGGGGAUACAUUCUUGGACUUCACAUGGAUAUGUGGAAUUGUGGAUAAUAGUGAACCCUAUUGAAAUGAAGGACUUCUGACACAAGAAUACCAUAGAGUCAUGCUGGAUGACUUAGAAGAUGCCUAGAAAAUCAUUAUUUAAAUUUUAAGGCCAAGACCUUGAACACUGUUUCCAUUCUAAAUAUCUUGGUGUCACCUUAGAUCGAACACUAACAUAUAGGAAACACGUUAUGAACACCAAGCACAAAGUAGCUGCAUGCAUUUAACAUCCUGCGGAAACCUAUUGGCAGUGCAUGGGAUGCAGACCCAGAAUUAAUAAGAACAGAACUAAUAAUCUGAACCCUUGGCUUCAAAAUGCUCAUUUGUUCUUCUUUGGUAUGAAUCCCAUGCUGCUGUCCUGUGGUCGUGGUACCGUAGUACCUCAUACUAGCCACCUAGUCUGUAAUCAGUGCUUUGGUCUAGUAAUAAAAAACAGAUUUUGCUUGAAUCCUUCCUGAUUUAUCAUUUGCUUUAAGAAGGCUUGAUCGUCUUUUAAAAUGUUAAUUAUUCUUCCAGAAAAUAAACAGACAUUCCUGGAAUGCUUUUUUAUGACACCCUAGUUUUUUAAUUGUAAAUGCAAUGAGGGAAGUCUUAACUUUCAGCAAUUUGUAGCAUUGAUGGCUUGGCUGCUUUCUCAAAUGCUAUCUCUUUUCUGUAAAGUUAAUGUCCAGUUAGUAUAGUGCCUUGUUUUAGUGUCUGUGUGAACUCCUUCUUGGCCACUGACCCCUAGCAAUUCUGUGUAACUGUAGCUCACAAUAUGAGGUCAAGCAAGGAGGUUGCUCCGAGUUCCCAGCCCAUCUUUCUGAAUUCUACCAUGUCCUUUAACACAGUGGACAGGUGAGGGAGGAAAUUCCUGUGUGCUAGGUAGUAUGCUAGGAAUGAAGAGUAGAAGGCUAGGAAUCUACAGAACAGGUCAGUUUUUUCUCCAGCCAUAAUGCAUCAAAGGCUAGGAAAUUAAUGACAGUGGAAGAUUUUCAGGCAAUUUUAGUCAGGAGAAGAAACUUAGGAGUUUCACCUUCUGCUGGCCUAAUGUUCAAGAGUAAAGCUGAAUUGUGAACCAUAUUAUUAAAUACUUUGUAAAGCUACCUCUCAAAAGUGGUGUACAGAAGUUAAAAUGUAAUAAUAAAACAUUACAACCACAAUA